rnacentral:rRNA from 1 species
AUUGAACGCUGGCGGCAGGCCUAACACAUGCAAGUCGAACGAGAGGUGGACGGGUGAGUAAUGUCUGGGAAAUUGCCUGAUGGAGGGGGAUAACUACUGGAAACCGUAGCUAAGACCGCAUACUAUCAGAUGUGUCCAGCUGGUUUUCGCUAGGCGGUGGGGUCACGGCGCACCUAGGCGACGAUCCCUAGCUGGUCGGAGAGGAUGACCAGCCACACUGGAACUGAGACACGGUCCAGACUCCUAGGGGAGGCAGCAGUGGGGAUUAUUGCACAAUGGGCGCAGGCCUGAUACAGCCAUGCCGCGUGUAUGAAGAAGGCCUUCGGGUUGUAAAGUACUUUCAGCGGGGAGGCGGUACCAGCAGAAGAAGCACCGGCUAACUCCGUGCCAGCAGCCGCGGUAAUAC